GGACUGCUAUUGUCUGGCUAAAAUAUUUUAAGUUUCAGUAUCUAUCUAAAAGAAACCUAGAGAGGUAGCAGGGUGUUGUGUGUUAGUACUAGCCCUCAGGCUGGUUUGCCGCAUUUCAAUCAUCUUUCCAUAAACAGUGUGUGGCAUCGAAGUCAUCAGGAUCAGUGUAGAAAGGUUUUGUUAUAUGCCUGUCACCUUUCAUACCCCAGGAUGGCUUCAGUAUACCAGCGUUCUCAUUUUGCAUGGUGGACCACAGUUAUUCCAGAGUCUUAGAGCCAUUGUGGGACAAUAGACAGUAAAUAUGUGAAACCUACAAUGGCUGGGCUGCCUCAAUCGUCGGGGUGAUAGACUCCUCAACAGGAAGAUGGAUGUAAAACAGCCAAACCCCAGAACUUGUCCAGAGAAUUCCACUGUUGCCAGAGCUGAAAACUGAACUCCUUGGGUGCAGAGUAAAAGCCUAUCACAUCACUUCUAAAGCAGUCUUGCCCGGUGAGCUCUUGCUCAGUGCGUAUCCAUCUUGCCCUGCUGUUUUUGGAUGGAGAACUUAACAAUUAGACCCAUCAGAAAGCAACUUGAGGAGUUCUACAGUUUUACACAACCAGAAGUUGUAAGACCCUACUUUUACUCUGGGAAUCAGGAGGAAUGUUAGAAACAAGUUGAAUCUAUAGUGGAAACAGAGGAAAAUAAAGCAAACACCAAACGCAUAUGAGUGCACCUAGGAUGUGGAAUGCACUGAGUGAGGUAGCGAUGGACUUCCUCUUGUCAGACAGCCACCAGGAAUGCGAUCGAUGGUUCCAUGUAUAUCUUCCUAAGGGUUAUUUGUGGCAUCAACUUAUGAAAUGUAUCUAUUAAGCACUUGUUAACACCUUAUUUUGGGACCCCUUCUGUUGGGGCAGGGGUGAAGGGAGGUUUAUAGAAGGCUAUGUAUCUCUUUUUUAAAAGAAAGAAGAAGAAGAAACUAUAUUUUAAUUUCUGAGCACUCAUUAGCCCUGUAUGGGGAAACUCUUUCCCUUCUGUAAGGGCCAGUUAUCACUGCAUAUUGCAUUGUUUACCCAUCAUCCUAAAUGUAAUUACAGAUUACUGACGAUAAUGCAUUAUUUACAAUGCCUGGGAAUAGUCUAAAUUGAGGAGAAGUGUAAACUGUCAUUUGAAUGGGGCUUUCACUCUAUGUCAUACACACACCUAGUGCACUUCGUAGAAUCAGAGUUGCUCUCUAGAGGGUUCAAGCUCCUGGUUCUAACCCUAGAGCAGUAGUUUUUAUACUUAUGUAUUUAAAUUUUAUUGUGAAAAAUACAUUUUAUUAAAAAGUUUUCCAAAGGC
rnacentral:lncRNA from 1 species